GGAUCGUAAAGCUCUGUUGUUAGGGAAGAACAAGUGCGAGAGUAACUGCUCGCACCUUGACGGUACCUAACCAGAAAGCCACGGCUAACUACGUGCCAGCAGCCGCGGUAAUACGUAGGUGGCAAGCGUUGUCCGGAAUUAUUGGGCGUAAAGGGCUCGCAGGCGGUUUCUUAAGUCUGAUGUGAAAGCCCCCGGCUCAACCGGGGAGGGUCAUUGGAAACUGGGAAACUUGAGUGCAGAAGAGGAGAGUGGAAUUCCACGUGUAGCGGUGAAAUGCGUAGAGAUGUGGAGGAACACCAGUGGCGAAGGCGACUCUCUGGUCUGUAACUGACGCUGAGGAGCNAA
rnacentral:rRNA from 1 species